rnacentral:rRNA from 1 species
CCUACGGGAGGCUGCAGUGGGGAAUAUUGGGCAAUGGGCGCAAGCCUGACCCAGCAACGCCGCGUGAAGGAAGAAGGCUUUCGGGUUGUAAACUUCUUUUAAGCGGGACGAACAAAUGACGUUACCCCUUUAAUAAGCCACGGCUAACUACGUGCCAUCAGCCGCGGUAAUACGUAGGUGGCAAGCGUUAUCCGGAUUUAUUGGGUGUAAAGGGCGUGUAGGCGGGAGCGCAAGUCAGAUGUGAAAACUCAGUGCUCAACCCUGAGCCUGCAUUUGAAACUGUGUUUCUUGAGUGCUGGAGAGGCACGCGGAAUGCGGUGUGUAGCGGUGAAAUGCGUAGAUAUACGGAGGAACACCAGUGGCGAAGGCGGAUUGCUGGACAGUAACUGACGCUGAGGCGCGAAAGCGUGGGGAGCAAACAGGAUUAGAUACCCGAGUAGUC